rnacentral:rRNA from 1 species
CCUACGGGAGGCUGCAGUGAGGAAUAUUGGUCAAUGGGCGCAAGCCUGAACCAGCCAAGUCGCGUGAGGGAUGACGGUCCUAUGGAUUGUAAACCUCUUUUGUCGGGGAGCAAGGCCCGCCACGUGUGGCGGGAAGGAGAGUAAACGAAGAAAAAGCAGCGGCUAACUCCGGGCCAGCAGCAGCGGUAAUACGAGGGAGGCGGGCGUUAUCCGGAUUUGUUGGGUUUAAAGGGUUCGUAGGCGGAAGGUUAAGUCAGCGGUAAAAUGUCGGUGCUCAACACCGGCCUGCCGUUGAAACUGGUCUUCUUGAGUGAGCGAGAAGUAUGCGGAAUGCGUGGUGUAGCGGUGAAAUGCAUAGAUAUCACGCAGAACUCCGAUUGCGAAGGCAGCAUACCGGCGCUCAACUGACGCUGAGGCACGAAAGCGUGGGGAUCGAACAGGAUUAGAUACCCCAGUAGUC